rnacentral:rRNA from 1 species
GAUGAACGCUGGCGGCGUGCCUAAUACAUGCAAGUCAAGCGAACAGACGAGGAGCUUGCUCCUCUGACGUUAGCGGCGGACGGGUGAGUAACACGUGGAUAACCUACCUAUAAGACUGGGAUAACUUCGGGAAACCGGAGCUAAUACCGGAUAAUAUAUUGAACCGCAUGGUUCAAUAGUGAAAGACGGUUUUGCUGUCACUUAUAGAUGGAUCCGCGCCGCAUUAGCUAGUUGGUAAGGUAACGGCUUACCAAGGCAACGAUGCGUAGCCGACCUGAGAGGGUGAUCGGCCACACUGGAACUGAGACACGGUCCAGACUCCUACGGGAGGCAGCAGUAGGGAAUCUUCCGCAAUGGGCGAAAGCCUGACGGAGCAACGCCGCGUGAGUGAUGAAGGUCUUCGGAUCGUAAAACUCUGUUAUUAGGGAAGAGCAAAUGUGUAAGUAACUAUGCACGUCUUGACGGUACCUAAUCAGAAAGCCACGGCUAACUACGUG